GUUCCUGAUCCAUAUGAUCGUGUCUACGAGAAUAUACCUGUGAGAAGAUGGAUGAAGCCAGAGCUCGAGGGCCAACAUUGUUAGCAUAGAUGGUUUUGAGCAAACGACUAAAAGAAGAAAGGAGCUCUUUGAGGACUGUUGUGACAUAGAUCCAGCAAGCUGGUGAUGGUGGUGCAGGAAGUGUAUGGGCGUCGACAUGGCUG